GUAGAUUGGGUGAUCGCUCCAUGCCAUAUGGGGAGGAAAGUCCGAGCUCCACUGGGCAGGGUGCUGGCUAACGGCCAGGCGGGGAAACCCGACGGAAAGUGCAACAGAAAACAAACUACCUCUAAAAAGAGGCAAAGGUGAAAUGGCGAGUUAAGAGCUCACCGCUUCAAUGGUGACAUUGAAGGCAUGGCAAACCCCACUCGGAGCAAGGCCAAAUAGGAGAACCAAGACAGCUCAGGUCGUUCUCGGGUUGGCUGCUAGAGGCUGCAAGUAAUUGUAGUCCCAGAUAAAUGAUCACUG
rnacentral:RNase_P_RNA from 1 species